UGAUCAAUGAUGAAUCUCACUCGUUAUCCUUGCACUAUAAGUCUCAAUAAAGAAAAAUAUGGGGACCAAUAAUCUUGAGAUGGUU